AAGGUUUUAAGUUAAAUAAACUGUUAGCCUUCAAAGCUGAAAAUAAAAAUAAAUUUUUAAACCUUA
rnacentral:tRNA from 1 species